GGAUUCCCCUAGUAACUGCGAGUGAAGCGGGAAAAGCUCAAAUUUAAAAUCUGGCGGUCUCUGGCCGUCCGAGUUGUAAUCUAGAGAAGUAAUGCCCGUGCUGGACCGUGUAUAAGUCUCCUGGGAUGGGGCGUCAUAGAGGGUGAGAAUCCCGUCUUUGACACGGACUACCAGUGCAUUGUGGUAUGCUCUCAAAGAGUCGAGUUGUUUGGGAAUGCAGCUCAAAAUGGGUGGUAAAUUCCAUCUAAAGCUAAAUAUUGGCGAGAGACCGAUAGCGAACAAGUACCGUGAGGGAAAGAUGAAAAGAACUUUGGAAAGAGAGUUAAACAGUACGUGAAAUUGCUGAAAGGGAAACGCUUGAAGUCAGUCGCGUUGGCCAGGGAUCAGCCUUGCUUUUGCAUGGUGUACUUUCUGGUUGACGGGUCAGCAUCAAUUUUGACCGCUGGAAAAAGACCUGGGGAAUGUGGCAGCUUCGGCUGUGUUAUAGCCCCUAGUCGCAUACAGUGGUUGGGAUUGAGGAACUCAGCACGCCGCAAGGCCGGGUUUCGACCACGUUCGUGCUUAGGAUGCUGGCAUAAUGGCUUUAAGCGACCCGUCUUGAAACACGGACCAAGGAGUCUAACAUGCCUGCGAGUAUUUGGGUGGAAAACCCAAGUGCGUAAUGAAAGUGAAAGUUGAGAUCCCUGUCGUGGGGAGCAUCGACGCCCGGACCAGAACUUUUGGGACGGAUCCGCGGUGGAGCAUGUAUGUUGGGACCCGAAAGAUGGUGAACUAUGCCUGAAUAGGGUGAAGCCAGAGGAAACUCUGGUGGAGGCUCGUAGCGAUUCUGACGUGCAAAUCGAUCGUCAAAUUUGGGUAUAGGGGCGAAA
rnacentral:rRNA from 1 species